CCUACGAGUCGCUGCAGUGGGGAAUAUUGGACAAUGGGCGAAAGCCUGAUCCAGCCAUGCCGCGUGUGUGAAGAAGGCCUUCGGGUUGUAAAGCACUUUCAGUGGGGAAGAAAGCCUUGGGGCUAAUACCCUCGAGGAAGGACAUCACCCACAGAAGAAGCACCGGCUAACUCCGUGCCAGCAGCCGCGGUAAUACGGAGGGUGCGAGCGUUAAUCGGAAUUACUGGGCGUAAAGCGCGCGUAGGCGGUCUGAUAAGCCGGUUGUGAAAGCCCCGGGCUCAACCUGGGAACGGCAUCCGGAACUGUCAGGCUAGAGUGCAGGAGAGGAAGGUAGAAUUCCCGGUGUAGCGGUGAAAUGCGUAGAGAUCGGGAGGAAUACCAGUGGCGAAGGCGGCCUUCUGGACUGACACUGACGCUGAGGUGCGAAAGCGUGGGUAGCAAACAGGAUUAGAUACCCGAGUAGUC
rnacentral:rRNA from 1 species